CGCGUAGGCGGACUUUCAAGUCGGGUGUGAAAACUGGCGGCUCAACUGCCAGCCUGCACUCGAUACUGUUAGUCUUGAGUACAGGAGAGGAAAGCGGAAUUCCAGGUGUAGCGGUGAAAUGCGUAGAUAUCUGGAAGAACACCAGUAGCGAAGGCGGCUUUCUGGACUGAUACUGACGCUGAAGCGCGAAGGCUAGGGGAGCAAACA
rnacentral:rRNA from 1 species